GUAGGGAAUAUUGGGCAAUGGAGGCAACUCUGACCCAGCCAUGCCGCGUGCAGGAAGACGGUCCUCUGGAUUGUAAACUGCUUUUGAAUGGGAAGAAACGCACUUUUGCGAAAGUGUUUGACGGUACUAUCAGAAUAAGCACCGGCUAACUCCGUGCCAGCAGCCGCGGUAAUACGGAGGGUGAAAGCGUUAUCCGGAUUUAUUGGGUUUAAAGGGUGCGUAGGCGGCUUGAUAAGUCUGGGGUUAAAGGCGGCAGCUUAACUGUACGCAUGCCCUAGAUACUGUUGAGCUUGAGUGACCUGGAGGUAGCUGGAAUUCCCUGUGUAGCGGUGAAAUGCAUAGAUACGGGGAGGAAUACCGAUUGCGAAGGCAUGUUACUACGGGUAAACUGACGCUGAUGCACGAAAGCGUGGGGAUCAAACAGGAUUAGAUACCCGAGUAGUCC
rnacentral:rRNA from 1 species